rnacentral:tRNA from 1 species
GCGGAUAUCGUAUAAUGGUAAUACCUCAGCUUUCCAAGCUGAUGCUGGGAGUUCGAUUCUCCCUAUCCGCUCCA